rnacentral:lncRNA from 1 species
CUCUUCUGUGUUAUCUAUACUAGGGUUUAGUAUUGGUUCUGAAGGGAUUUCAGUGUUGCUGAUGCAAGGGUUUGGUAUUGGUUGGGCAAUUGGUAGUGGACGUUUCUUAGGAAAAAACUUCUGUAGUAGAAAAGGUGCUGAUGAUAGAAGAAUAGUUUUCACAGAGGUUGAUGGAUGUACUACUGGGAUUAGUGAGUUUGGAGAAGGCAUAUCUAUGGUGGUAAUAGGAGGAAAGACCAAACUUGGUGCUACCGUUAUUAUAGGAGGAUACUUUGGAGGAGGAGGAGAGGGAGGUUGAGAUAGAGAUAUAAUACCUUGAGCUUGAGGAUGCUUGAGGUCUCUGAUCUGUUGUUCGAGAAUAGCAAUUUUUUGUAGAUUGUUCUGAUCUCUUGUUCGUAGUUCAUCACAGAUGAUAUUUAGCCGUUGAAACUGUGUGGCCAUUAUUGAGCAGUUGUUAGAAAAAAGAAAAACCCGCUGUGAUUCUAUCACAGGCAAAAAUAAGGGUUCUUAGUUUAGGAUUGUUUUUAAAAAGGUGACACCUUCUGAUCCAAUUCCACCAUCAAGAAAUCAAGAAGUUUUCAGUGUUGCUGAUACAAGGGUUUGGUAUUGGUUGGGCAAUUGGUAGUGGACGUUUCUUAGGAAAAAAAUUCUGUAGUGGAAAAGGUGUUGAUGAUAGAGGAAUAGUUUUCACAGAGGUUGAUGGAUGGACUACUGGGAUUAGUGAGUUUGGAGAAGGCAUAUCUAUGGUGGUAAUAGGAGGAAAGACCAAACUUGCUGCUACCGUUAUUAUAGGAGGAUACUUUGGAGGAGGAGGAGAGGGAGAUUGAAUUUUCAUGAAGAGUUCAAGGAAAGGGAAUCAUGAGGCAAAGAAAAUGCCAUGGAUAAAAGAGUUCGAGAAAUAUAAUAUAACAAAGGAUAAAACUUACAUCACAAAGCUAGAAGGUUUCCCUUCCGGGACUUCUCGGGGGGGAAAGAAAGGACUUUUUUGUACAGACUCCUUAAUCCCGGGUGCAGU